AUGAACGCUGGCGGUAUGCUUAACACAUGCACGUCGAACGGACUCUUCGGAGUUAGUGGCGGACGGGUGAGUAACGCGUGAGAAUCUGGCUUUGGGUUCGGGACAACCACUGGAAACGGUGGCUAAUACCGGAUGUGCCGAGAGGUAAAAGAGAAAUUGCCUGAAGAUGAGCUCGCGUCUGAUUAGCUAGUUGGUAAGGUAAAGGCUCACCAAGGCAGCGAUCAGUAGCUGGUCUGAGAGGAUGACCAGCCACACUGGGACUGAGACACGGCCCAGACUCCUACGGGAGGCAGCAGUGGGGAAUUUUCCGCAAUGGGCGAAAGCCUGACGGAGCAAUACCGCGUGAGGGAAGAAGGCUCUUGGGUUGUAAACCUCUUUUCUUAGGGAAGAACAAAAUGACGGUACCUAAGGAAUCAGCAUCGGCUAACUCCGUG
rnacentral:rRNA from 1 species